AUUGAACGCUGGCGGCAUGCUUUACACAUGCAAGUCGAACGGCAGCGCGGUCUUCGGCCUGGCGGCGAGUGGCGAACGGGUGAGUAAUACAUCGGAACGUGCCCAUUUGUGGGUGAUUGCUCGGCGAAAGCCGGAUUAAUACCGCAUACGACCUGAGGGUGAAAGCGGGGGAUCUUCGGACCUCGCGCUCUUUGAGCGGCCGAUGGCAGAUUAGCUAGUUGGUGGGGUAAAGGCCUACCAAGGCGACGAUCUGUAGCUGGUCUGAGAGGACGACCAGCCACACUGGGACUGAGACACGGCCCAGACUCCUACGGGAGGCAGCAGUGGGGAAUUUUGGACAAUGGGCGAAAGCCUGAUCCAGCAAUGCCGCGUGUGUGAUGAAGGCCUUCGGGUUGUAAAGCACUUUUGGCGGGAACGAAAAGGACUGUGCCAAUACCACGGUUCGAUGACGGUACCCGCAGAAUAAGCACCGGCUAACUACGUG
rnacentral:rRNA from 1 species